ensembl:lncRNA
GCAACCUAACUAAUAGGGUUCCAAAUCCCAGCAACAACAAAAAUAAAUAAAUAAAAAAUAGGGAACCACCCCUCACGCUCCACCUCAUGAUGCUUAAUCGACGUAAUCAACCUUAAUUUGAUGCAGUGUGAAAAAAAAAAUGCACAGAAAUCAAUUAUUUUUCAAGAAAUAUUAAAUAGAUUCAACAUCUUUCUUCAACAAAAUUGCAGACUGCACAGAUGGUACCUUCCCAAAGGAAAAAGUACUAUAGCUUACUAGGGUGGAGCGUGAGGGGUGGUUCCCUAUUUUUUAUUUAUUUAUUUUUGUUGUUGCUGGGAGUUGGAACCCUAUUAGUUAGGUUGCUUAAUAUUUAUGCUAAGUACUCUUUAAAAUACCAGAAUAGGGAGGAUGGUGUAGGUUUAAGUUUAUUAGAUUGAUCAGUAUUGCUGAACUAUGAAAUUUUUUUUUUUUUUGCAUAUAGGUAUAACAGAAUAGCUUUAGUGUAGUUGUUGUUUUAAACUUGAGUAUGAACUUAUACAAAAUGCAGCAAGAUAUUUUAAAAAAAACAGUUUUGUUGAUUAAAAAACACUAUAUCGGAUUCAUAUCGGUAUCGGCAGAUAUCCAAAUUUAUGAUAUCGGUAUCGGUAUCGGACAUAAAAAAGUGGUAUCAUGCCAUCUCUAGUCUAGGUUGCAGAAUAAAAUUGAGGCACAGGCGGCCAGAAGGGGACAGAGGGGGAGUGCCUCCCUGCACCCUGGUGACAUACCUGCACCCCAAGCCCCGCGUGUCUGGGUGGGUGGGUGUGGUAGAGCGGGAAUAGGGAGGCAGCUGAGGAUGGGGAGGGAAGAAAGGGAGGGGCAAGCGGCCCCUCCCUGGGGCCAGCUCCCCUGCUGACCCCAGUAGUAGGCACCCCCACACUCUGGAACCCACCAGGGCAAGGGGGCCCAGGCCCAUCCGGACCGGGGCCCGCAGCAGCAGCAUCGCCCAGCCCCGUUGAGUCCGGGGCAGCCCACCGGACUCCACCCCAGAGAAAACUGACUUUUACAAAUGCAGGUUACGAGGGAAGUAAGUAAGCCAGAGAAAUAGACAAGCCAGUAAGUUUCCAAAAUAAAAGACCCCAAUGCCGACUACGCUGUGAUUUGAAGCAUUGAAACAACACAAUCUUAAUAAUAAUGGAUUGGAUUUAUAUAGCGCUUUUCAAGGCACCCAAAGAGCUUUACAAUACCACUAUUCAUUCACUCUCACAUUCACACACUGGUGGAGACAGCUACAGCUGUAGCCACAGCUGCCCUGGGGCAGACUGACAGAAGCGAGGCUGCCAUAUCGCGCCAUCGGCCCCUCUGGCCAACACCAGUAGGCAAGUAGGGUAAAGUGUCUUGCCCAAGGACACAACGACCAGGACAGAGAGCCCGGGGAUCGAACCGGCAAACUUCCGGUUACAGAUGCGAUUCCCAACCCCCUGAGCCACGGUCGCCACAAUCUUGGACACUGUUGGAGGCGGAGUCCGGUUGCCCCUCCCUGGCUGACCACCUGUGAGCAAUCGUGCCAGCGGUAUAUCAGACCUGCGCUCUCAACCACUCAUCGCCUGAGUAUCUGCUAUUCCCAUCGAUAGCACCCGGAGUGGAGAUCUUGUUCCCUUCACUCCCGUCCUCCUGGACCUGGGCCGCCAGCUGCUUACACAACGUGGCCUGCCGGCCCACCGCUCACCUGCCUGCCUCCCCACGCCUCGACCGCUUCCGGGUUUUCCGCUCCACCUGUCCCCUCCAUCUGAAACCAAUGCCCCCAGCCCCUACCUAGUCCUGUUUCUACCUCCCCGCUGUCCCCGCUGUUCAGCCGUCUCCUAGAGGUGUCUAGGUCGCCCUCAUUAUCACCGACGAAUCCUACGCGCCACUAGUGUGGUGGCGUCGCUUUGUGUUUCACCUUUGUUUACCUG